rnacentral:rRNA from 1 species
UUCCUUAGUAAGCUAUUGCGCCAACUAGGACUUUUAAUCCAACAUCGAGGUCACAAAAUUUUUUGAUGAUAAGAACUCUUAAAAAAAAUUAUGCUGUUAUCCCUACAGUAACUUAUUCCUCCUUAAAAACUUUUCGAUUUUACAAGAUAAGAACUCACAAUACAAAAAUGAUAUUAACUCAUUAACUGCCCCAGUUAAACAAUUUAAUUUCUGAUUUGAAAACAAAAAAUCAAUUGUGAAGCUUGAUAGGGUCUUCUCGUCCCCAAAUAAAAUUUUAGCUUUUUUACUAAAUGAUAAAAUUCAAAAUAUUUAAGUAAGACAAAAAUAUUUAGUGAAACCCUUCAUUCCAGUCCCAAAUUAAAAGACUA